AGAGUUUGAUCAUGGCUCAGAAUGAACGCUGGCGGCAGGCCUAACACAUGCAAGUCGAACGGGUCCUUCGGGACUAGUGGCGGACGGGUGAGUAACGCGUGGGAACAUACCCAAAGGUACGGAAUAGCCUCGGGAAACUGGGAGUAAUACCGUAUGUGCUCGAAAGAGGAAAGAUUUAUCGCCAAAGGAUUGGCCCGCGUUGGAUUAGGUAGUUGGUGGGGUAAUGGCCUACCAAGCCGACGAUCCAUAGCUGGUUUGAGAGGAUGAUCAGCCACACUGGGACUGAGACACGGCCCAGACUCCUACGGGAGGCAGCAGUGGGGAAUCUUAGACAAUGGGGGAAACCCUGAUCUAGCCAUGCCGCGUGAUCGAUGAAGGCCUUAGGGUUGUAAAGAUCUUUCAGAUGGGAAGAUAAUGACGGUACCAUCAGAAGAGCC
rnacentral:rRNA from 1 species